rnacentral:rRNA from 1 species
UACGAAGGGUGCAAACGUUGCUCGGAAUUAUUGGGCGUAAAGCGCACGUAGGCGGCAUUGCAAGUCGGAUGUGAAAUCCCUCGGCUUAACCAAGGAAGUGCAUCCGAAACUGCAGUGCUUGAGUACUUAAGAGGAUCGCGGAAUUCCCGGUGUAGAGGUGAAAUGCGUAGAUAUCAGGAGGAACACCGGUGGCGAAGGCGGCCCUCUGGACGGUGACUGACGCUGAGACGCGAAAGCGUGGGGAGCAAACAGG